GAUGAACGCUGGCGGCGUGCCUAAUACAUGCCAGUCGAGCGAACAGAUGAGGAGCUUGCUCCUCUGACGUUAGCGGCGGACGGGUGAGUAACACGUGGAUAACCUACCUAUAAGACUGGGAUAACUUCGGGAAACCGGAGCUAAUACCGGAUAAUAUAUUGAACCGCAUGGUUCAAUAGUGAAAGACGGUUUUGCUGUCACUUAUAGAUGGAUCCGCGCCGCAUUAGCUAGUUGGUAAGGUAACGGCUUACCAAGGCAACGAUGCGUAGCCGACCUGAGAGGGUGAUCGGCCACACUGGAACUGAGACACGGUCCAGACUCCUACGGGAGGCAGCAGUAGGGAAUCUUCCGCAAUGGGCGAAAGCCUGACGGAGCAACGCCGCGUGAGUGAUGAAGGUCUUCGGAUCGUAAAACUCUGUUUUUAGGGAAGAACAAAUGUGUAAGUAACUAUGCACGUCUUGACGGUACCUAAUCAGAAAGCCACGGCUAACUACGU
rnacentral:rRNA from 1 species